rnacentral:rRNA from 1 species
GACACAGGUGCUGCAUGGCUGUCGUCAGCUCGUGUCGUGAGAUGUUGGGUUAAGUCCCGCAACGAGCGCAACCCUCACCCUUAGUUGCCAGCAUUCCGUUGGGCACUCUAAAGGGACUGGCGGUGAUAAACCUAGAGGAAGGUGGGGAUGACGUCAAGUCCUCAUGGCCCUUACGGGCUGGGCUACACACGUGCUACAAUGGUGGUGACAGUGGGCAGCGAGCACGCGAGUGUGAGCU